rnacentral:rRNA from 1 species
UGGGGAAUAUUGGACAAUGGGGGAAACCCUGAUCCAGCAAUGCCGCGUGAGUGAUGAAGGCCUUAGGGUUGUAAAGCUCUUUUACCCGGGAAGAUAAUGACUGUACCGGGAGAAUAAGCCCCGGCUAACUCCGUGCCAGCAGCCGCGGUAAUACGGAGGGGGCUAGCGUUGUUCGGAAUUACUGGGCGUAAAGCGCACGUAGGCGGCUUUGUAAGUUAGAGGUGAAAGCCCGGGGCUCAACCCCGGAACUGCCUUUAAGACUGCAUCGCUUGAACGUCGGAGAGGUGAGUGGAAUUCCGAGUGUAGAGGUGAAAUUCGUAGAUAUUCGGAAGAACACCAGUGGCGAAGGCGGCUCACUGGACGACUGUUGACGCUGAGGUGCGAAAGCGUGGGGAGCAAACA